rnacentral:lncRNA from 1 species
UCCUGGAGGAGAAAGUGGCUGUUGAAUCAUAUCCACAGGUUGUCUCAACAAAAACAUGUAAGUCAAUUCGUCAGAAUGAGUUAGACUGAUUUAAUUUAUCCACAUGUAGACAACCAUCACAAGCAGACUAACAAAUCAAACCUCAGGCCACAAUCCAGAGUAAAGUCAACUCCACACAAAACCAAAACGUGACCCAGAAACAGAACCUCACCCGAACCACAGAUUCACCACCGCAGCACAGAGUACGCGCAGGUGUGAAAAAUUACAGCACAACUGCAGCUCCUCACACGACGCUGGGGUAUAAAGAAGAGACAGACGUUUUCAUCAUUAUCGUGGUGUUGCUGGUGAUAACACUCGUCAUCACAGCCAUGGUGGUUCUGAUCAACCGCAAGAAGAGGAGAGAGAAAGAAGCUGGUGAGAUUUUCACAAUUACAUCACCAGUAUACAUUAUUAAUGUUAAUGUUAAUAUUUAUGCUUCACUGUUUUACUGUCACACACAGUUUUAAUGCAAUGAUAACGAGAAAUUUCAUGUGAAAAUGUGUGUCCUAAACAUGUUAAAUGACCCAUGGCAUGUGUUACGGUUAGUGGUGUCGAUCAAUUAAAAAAUAUGGCGUUAGACACAGUGAAACUGCAGGGGUUGGACAAUGAAACUGAAACACCUGUCAUUUUAGUG